UACAGAGGGUGCAAGCGUUGCUCGGAAUUAUUGGGCGUAAAGGGUAGGUAGGUGGUCUUAUUUGUCGGGGGUGAAAGCCCAGGGCUUAACCCUGGAAGUGCCCCGGAAACGGUGAGGCUGGAGUAUUGGAGAGGGGCGUGGAAUUCCCGGUGUAGCGGUGAAAUGCGUAGAGAUCGGGAGGAACACCAGAGGCGAAGGCGGCGACCUGGACAAUUACUGACGCUCAACUACGAAAGCGUGGGGAGCAAACAGG
rnacentral:rRNA from 1 species